rnacentral:rRNA from 1 species
CCUACGGGAGGCAGCAGUGGGGAAUAUUGCACAAUGGGGGAAACCCUGAUGCAGCAACGCCGCGUGAGUGAAGAAGUCAUUCGUGAUGUAAAGCUCUAUCAGCAGGGAAGAAAAUGACGGUACCUGAGUAAGAAGCCCCGGCUAACUACGUGCCAGCAGCCGCGGUAAUACGUAGGGGGCAAGCGUUAUCCGGAAUUACUGGGUGUAAAGGGAGCGUAGACGGCUGUGCAAGUCUGGAGUGAAAGGCGGGGGCCCAACCCCCGGACUGCUCUGGAAACUGUGCAGCUGGAGUGCAGGAGAGGUAA